rnacentral:snRNA from 1 species
GCUUGCUUAGGCAAACACAUACACUCAACGUGGAAUGAUACAGAGGAGUUUAGCAUAGCCCCAGCACAAGGGUGACAUGCAAAUUAAUGACACAUUCCAUAUUUUU